rnacentral:lncRNA from 1 species
GGUCAUCAAAAUUAAUAAGUGAUAUAAUUGUCUUACGGGCAUUCCUAAGUAGCAAAUUCUUGCAUCUAAAAGCAACGAUGGCAAAUCGGGUGGAGCACUUCUAGGUCUUCCGGCUGCUCUACCUCCACCACGAUACAUGCUGACGCUCAUACUGUAUUUCGCGGGACCCUUAUCAUGCAUUCCAGAUAAACUCCACAUUCCUCCAUGAUUCAAGUAAUUGUGAGAGGACGAGAUUGUUUCCUGUUAAAGAGACCUCUGUUACACUUUCCGCUUGCCGCCUUACAGGAUUAUCUUCUGUCAUGAACAUGUCCAUUUGUGAAGGACUAAGACCGUACAGAUAUUGAGGAACAUUCUUGAAAUUUUCCAUCACUGAAAAAAUGAGUUGGUUAAUUGCUGAUACAAGUGUGUGUGAAGCUAAGUAGUUAAUGCGGUAAAAUAUCGGAUAUCGGCCAAGGACCGAUAUUUGAGAUAUCAGUUAUCGCUGUGGGAUAUCGGUAAUUUUAAUAUCAUGCUAAAUUUAUAUAUAUAUAAAUGACACUAACAAUUCAGUAUACUCUCCUACGGCAUUAACAAAUUAACCUUUUGCAACUUGCAAAACACUAACAAUUGUAGCAAGUAGGAACUCACUAAGACUUAAAACACUAACAACUAACAGUUAAGACUUAAAACACUAAUAGCAAUAAUAAGAAAAGCGAAUGGUAGAACUAAAAAGAAAGGUACUGAAAUCAGGAAAAUCAAUGAUAUAUCAUUCCAAUAUCGGUCAAUAUCGCCGAUUUUAUUGGUACCGAUAUUUUGUACCCGUAUAUCGGCAGGGGGGGGGACCGAUAACCGAUAUAUCACUGAUAUAUCGGGAUAUUAACUACAUAGGUGUGAAGUAGACACUAAUCUUCUUUUCUCAUCUUAUGUUCUUUAAUUGUGGUUUUUCUAAGUAAAAUAUUGCAGCAAAUGAACAAUAAAUUAAUCAUUUAGCAAUAAGACUGUAGCUAUUAUAAUAUAAAUAUGUUCAUCAGCUCCAAAAUGAUUCCAUAUCAAUUUUAGGGUUUCAAUAAUAGUCACAGACACACAAGCCAUAUGUCAUACCUAAAUAGUAUGAGAGGUUUGUAGGAGGAAGCUAACUAUUAAUAAAAAAGAGAGAGAGAGAGACUCACAUCCAUCUUUAAGGUUUCCUUCCCUGAACUGCUUGGGGAUAUAGUCCAGAUAUUUAUCCGAAGCCGUCGCAGACACCGGAGACCUAACACAUCGUCCCCUAACCGUAACAUCUUUGAUUUUUCUGGAAGGAGCAUGGAUAUUGUUGCGAACAAAGGAGGAUUUCAACAACAGAUUCGUAGAAGAACUCAAAUCUCGAUUAUGGUCGACGGUCGGAGGAAGAUGAGGUGAACGGAGUACCGAAAUCGACGUCGCCAUUACUCUCUCUCUCUCUCU